GGGCCCUUAGCUUAGUCUGGAAAGAGCACCUGGCUUCGAACCAGGGGGUCGGGGGUUCGAAUCCCCCAGGGCUCG
rnacentral:tRNA from 1 species